rnacentral:misc_RNA from 1 species
UUUACUUGAAUUUCAUCUUCCAACUCAAUAAUUGUAGAAUUGUGAAGUUGAGUUUUUAUGAAUUACGGAUAUUCUGGUUGUACAGAAUACGAAGUUAGCUGCUUUAUAGAUUUUGUAUAAAGUUUCAUAUCUGUAUUUGGAGAAGUUUUCGAGACAUUAAAAAGAUGACAAUUGGAAAUCAAGCUCCCAAAAAGGAGAGAAAGUCGAGGAAGAGCAAACCAGUUAAUGAGAAUGCUCCCUUGUUGCCCAAAAGUAAAGAGGAGGAUGCUGGUUUUGAUGAGUUU